rnacentral:rRNA from 1 species
GACGAACGCUGGCGGCGUGCUUAACACAUGCAAGUCGAACGGUAAGGCCCUUCGGGGUACACGAGUGGCGAACGGGUGAGUAACACGUGGGUGAUCUGCCCUGCACUUCGGGAUAAGCCUGGGAAACUGGGUCUAAUACCGGAUAGGACCACUGCCUGCAUGGGUGGUGGUGGAAAGCUUUUGCGGUGUGGGAUGGGCCCGCGGCCUAUCAGCUUGUUGGUGGGGUGAUGGCCUACCAAGGCGACGACGGGUAGCCGGCCUGAGAGGGUGACCGGGCACACGGGGACUGAGAUACGGCCCAGACUCCUACGGGAGGCAGCAGUGGGGAAUAUUGCACAAUGGGCGCAAGCCUGAUGCAGCGACGCCGCGUGAGGGAUGACGGCCUUCGGGUUGUAAACCUCUUUCAGCACCGACGAAGCGCAAGUGACGGUAGGUGCAGAAGAAGGACCGGCCAACUACGUGCCAGCAGCCGCAGUAA